UGGGGAAUUUUGGACAAUGGGCGCAAGCCUGAUCCAGCCAUUCCGCGUGCAGGAUGAAGGCCUCGGGUUGUAAACUGCUUUUGUACGGAACGAAAAGCCUUUUUCUAAUACAAGAAGGUCAUGACGGUACCGUAAGAAUAAGCACCGGCUAACUACGUGCCAGCAGCCGCGGUAAUACGUAGGGUGCAAGCGUUAAUCGGAAUUACUGGGCGUAAAGCGUGCGCAGGCGGUAAUGCAAGACAGAUGUGAAAUCCCCGGGCUCAACCUGGGAACUGCAUUUGUGACUGCAUUGCUGGAGUGCGGCAGAGGGGGAUGGAAUUCCGCGUGUAGCAGUGAAAUGCGUAGAUAUGCGGAGGAACACCGAUGGCGAAGGCAAUCCCCUGGGCCUGCACUGACGCUCAUGCACGAAAGCGUGGGGAGCAAACA
rnacentral:rRNA from 1 species